GAUGAACGCUGGCGGCGUGCCUAAUACAUGCAAGUCGAGCGAACAGACGAGGAGCUUGCUCCUCUGACGUUAGCGGCGGACGGGUGAGUAACACGUGGAUAACCUACCUAUAAGACUGGGAUAACUUCGGGAAACCGGAGCUAAUAUCGGCUAAUAUAUUGAACCGCAUGGUUCAAUAGUGAAAGACGGUUUUGCUGUCACUUAUAGAUGGAUCCGCGCCGCAUUAGCUAGUUGGUAAGGUAACGGCUUACCAAGGCGACGAGGCGUAGCCGACCUGAGAGGGUGAUCGGCCACACUGGAACUGAGACCCGGUCCAGACUCCUACGGGAGGCAGCAGUAGGGAAUCUUCCGCAAUGGGCGAAAGCCUGACGGAGCAACGCCGCGUGAGUGAUGAAGGUCUUCGGAUCGUAAAACUCUGUUAUUAGGGAAGAACAAAUGUGUAAGUAACUAUGCACGUCUUGACGGUACCUAAUCAGAAAGCCACGGCUAACUACGUG
rnacentral:rRNA from 1 species